GGCUGGUUCAAAGGUAGUCAGUUAUCUCAAUUGUUCCCAGUCAGUUACAGAUAGAACUCCUUGUUCUACUUUUUCCUCCCUUUUCACUACUGCAGUUGACUAGUCUUGA
rnacentral:Y_RNA from 1 species